GACACAGGGCCGCUCAGAGGCCGCCGCGAUGCUCCCCUCUUUGCAAGAGUCGAUGGAUGGAGAUGAAAAGGAACUAGAGAGCAGCGAAGAGGGAGGCUCAGCCGAGGAGCGGAGACUCGAGCCGCCGUCCAGCAGCCACUACUGUCUUUACAGCUAUCGCGGAAGCAGAUUGGCGCAGCAACGAGGGGACAGUGAGGACGGAAGCCCAAGUGGCACAAAUGCAGAAACUCCCUCUGGUGAUGAUUUCAGGUAAAAAGAGCUUCAGCAUAAUUCAUGCAUGUGCUUUCAUCUUCCCUGCAUCUCUGGCCUGUACAUGUCAGUGGAUACUCUAUUUCCACUGAGCUUUCCCUGAGUCAAACCGUCAAUUCCUCCUAUCCCCUAGGAACCUCACCCUGAUUUCCUCAUUGGCUGGUUCAUUCAAGGCUGGGGCAAACAAAUCCACAUACUGAUAGUGUGCUUGGUGAUUAGCCAGAAAGAAAUCCUUUUUUUUCUUUUUCCUUUUAAAUUGAGACAGGGUCUUGCUCUGCUGCCCAGGCUGGAGUGCAGUGGCAUGACUUUGGCUCACUGCAGCGUCAACCUCCCC
rnacentral:sRNA from 1 species